UAUCAGAACGGCCCUCGCAGUACUCAAUUUCAAAUCGUCUUGAGAACAUCUCCGGGAAAAAAAUCAAAUUCGCUAGAAAUAUGGUAGGUUGUGCAGUGAAUGGGUGUCAUAACACAACAAAUAAUAUUAAGAAACCGCCCGACAUUACAUUCCACAGAUUUCCGACUGAUCCGCUUCUGUCUGCGAAAUGGAUUGAGACAAUCCGGCAAAACAGGAACGAUUUUAUGUGGAAGCCUACUAAACAUAGUCGUGUAUGCUCGCUCCAUUUCAAUGAGCAAGACAAGUUCAUUAGUAAAAACGGCUUGCGGAAAUUACGGCGUGGUACGGUCCUUUCUAAAAAUGUACCUGUUUUUAUCACAGCAGAGAAACCGAAUGACACAUGUAACAUUUUAAAUCAACACGGUCCAAGUUCACCGAAGGCGGGUACCUCUCAAGACGACACUAAUGAAACGCAAUUAAAAUCGCCAUCUUUGUCUUCAGUUUCCAUACCGUCUUCUAUUUUUGAUACACCAAAAAAGGCUUCAUUGCGGCAUAGCUUAAAGAAUAAAGUGAUUCAGCAUCGCAAAUUGACUAAAAAAAUAAAGAUGCUUCAACAAAAAACACGACGAUUAAAAAAAAAAUGAAGCAUUACAGAACGUUUUGACAGAAUUACGCAACGAAAGAUACAUCAAUAACGACGUGUGCAACAUAUUAUCAGAAAAUGUAUUAGCUGCAGAACUGUACAACAGCAUGGCUUUAAAAAGGACAGGAAAGAAACGGCCAAUGCCAAAAUAUACUCCAGAAUUCAGAAAAUUUUGCCUCACGUUACAUUUCUAUUCACCUCGAGCAUUAUUUAUUAUUUAAGAAUUAGGUUAUUUUACGAGUGCAAAAAAGAAAAUUUAAAGCAGAACGCCACAUCGAAGCGCCAAUUAUUUAAAAAGCAGCUACAGUUUCAAGGAUAUUAAUAAAUAAAUAAAUAAAUAUUAUAGACUGGCUGGCAGAUUGACUGAGUCCCACGGUAAGCUCAAUAAAAAAUGUCUCAUAUAAA